UACAGAGGUCCCAAGCGUUGUUCGGAUUCAUUGGGCGUAAAGGGUGCGUAGGCGGCGCGGUAAGUCGGGUGUGAAAUCUCGGGGCUUAACUCCGAAACUGCAUUCGAUACUGGCCGUGCUUGAGGACUGGAGAGGAGACUGGAAUUCAUGGUGUAGCAGUGAAAUGCGUAGAGAUCCGGAGGAACACCAGCGGCGAAGGCGGACAUCCUGGACUGGUCCUGACACUCAGGAGCGAA
rnacentral:rRNA from 1 species